rnacentral:rRNA from 1 species
AUUGAACGCUGGCGGCAGGCCUAACACAUGCAAGUCGAGCGGAUGAAGGGAGCUUGCUCCUGGAUUCAGCGGCGGACGGGUGAGUAAUGCCUAGGAAUCUGCCUGGUAGUGGGGGAUAACGUCCGGAAACGGGCGCUAAUACCGCAUACGUCCUGAGGGAGAAAGUGGGGGAUCUUCGGACCUCACGCUAUCAGAUGAGCCUAGGUCGGAUUAGCUAGUUGGUGGGGUAAAGGCCUACCAAGGCGACGAUCCGUAACUGGUCUGAGAGGAUGAUCAGUCACACUGGAACUGAGACACGGUCCAGACUCCUAAGGGAGGCAGCAGUGGGGAAUAUUGGACAAAGGGAGAAAGCCUGAUCCAGCCAUGCCGCGUGUGUGAAGAAGGUCUGCGGAUUGUAAAGCACUUUAAGUUGGGGGGAAGGGCAGUAAGUUAAUAACUUGCUGUUUUGACGUUACCAACAGAAUAAGCACCGGAUAACUUCGUG